rnacentral:lncRNA from 1 species
GAAAACCCCAAAAUAACCCGCCUUCACUGUCCAGCUGCUAUUUCUGUCCAUCUUGUUUAAUUAUUCAAACCCAAGUUGGGGAGUGAACUAUAAAAAGCUCUCCUACUUGGGGACCCAGGAGAGCCGGGAGACUCGCCAGGUUGCAAUAGCAGCAGACCACAGGGUUUGGGUGAGGUCACUUGGUCCGGCCUCCUGCCUGGAAGUUCCAUCUGCUGUUUGCCUGCUUCCUCUGCUAGAAGGUUGACUGGAGUUUGACAGAGGGAACCAUCGAUAGGAAAGACUGUAUUCUUUCUCCUCUGCGCCUUGUCACCCAUCCAACCGCAUCUCUAACGGGUCUGAGGACUUGUCAGGAAGCAGCGCAGGCCUUCACUCAUUGUUGACACAGGGCCAUCACCACGCUUCUUCACUUCCCUUAUUGGUGAAGCUCCUAUCCAGAAGGAGCACUUCCGUUCAACAAGUAUUUACUGAGCAGCUAUGAAACUUGCUGGGGGAGUGAUGAGGGAUGGGCCCUGUGGUGCAGAAGGAGUUCCUUCAAGGGCCUCUCCCUCCAGGGAGGUUACUAAUGAGAGGCACUGUGGGGGCCCGGUGGCUGCUUUCACUUGUUUCACAGAGUGGGCUUCCAAGUAAGCUUUCCUCUGAAGAGCUGGGCCACAGCUUAAGUUGUUUGAAACUCCUCUGUGGUCUGUUAUGGAAUAUCCAUGCCAUAGAAUGCCCCACCGCCUUGCAAAGCGGGAAGUGGAUCUGGGCCCACUGAUGCACCAUAGUCUCAGAGACAAAUUGUUCAAUGAAGAAAGGAAGUCUCAGAGCAAUCUAUACAACAGCAGGCCAUUUAUGCAAAUAAGCAGGUGUGGGGAUAUGUGUAUUAAUCAACUCUCUAUAAACUGAGUGGCUUAAAACAACAACUAUCAUUAUAUUAUUAUUGCUGAUGGCUGGGGUUCAGCUGGGUGGUUUUCAGUCGGAGUCUCACGCUGUUGCUUUCUGACAGGCUUUGGGGCGGAGGCUGUCUCACAUGUCUGGCGCCUGGGUGGGAGCACUCAAGCAAGGUGGGGUUGGGAAAAGCUAUGAUCCUUUCUCUCUCUAUUCUCUCUGUGUGGUGUCUCCUGCAUGGGGCUUCAGGGUAGCCAGACUUCUUACAAGGUGGCUUAGGGCUCCAGUAGUGUGUGUCCUGGGAUAGAGAGCCAAGGGGAAUCAAUAUUGCUUCUUCUGCCCUAGCCUUAGGAGUCACCUAACAUCACUUCUGUCAUACGUGGGCGAGGCAGUCACAGAGGCUGCCCAGGUUGUGGGGUAGUGGACGGAGCCUCCAUCUCAGGCAGCAUGGCAAGGUUUUAGAAGAGCAUGUGGAAUGGGAAAUGUUGUUGUGGCCAUUUUUGGAAAAUACACUCUGCUGUACUACGUUCGUAUACAUGAAUGCAAGCGUACAGAGACAAGGCCUGGAUCUGUACCAGACCGUCAGCAAGGCUUGCCUCUGGGGCAAAUGAGAUGUGGGACGCCUACCACAGCAUGGUGUGCCAAGCGGUGCCAUGUCUGCACCCGGGAUCCAACCUGGCAAACCACGAGCCACCAAAGGGAAAUGUGCGCACUUAACAGCUGCGCCACCGGGCUGGCCCCUUGAAUCUUUUACAUUGAGAUGGUAUAUACUUAUUUUGUUUGUUUGAUGGAAAGGAAACAAAAGAGAAAAAAAAGAAGGAGAAAAUAAGCCAACUUUGCUGUAAGCCUUUUAUAAUAAAAGGGUUUAAUAGACUGGUAUUUCUGGGGAAUGUUGCAUAAUACAUCUGAAUUUCAUCAAAGCAUUUAAUUUGGUUGAUUAUAAUAUAUUUUAAAUACGAUGCAGAAAUGUGGACAGCAUUAUUAUUAUUAUUAUUCCAGCUUUACUGAGAGAUAAUUGACAUAUAACAUUGUAUAAGUUUAAGAUGUACAAUGUGAUGAUUUGAUGCAUG